CCAGAUCCAGCAUAAAUGUAUUCCUUUCUUGUGUUAGAGUAACACGGGAUGGCACAGCUGAGGGCAUGUAUCCUUUGAGCUGAUGUCAUGUGUCCUGAGGGCAGGGAAGUCCAAUGGCCUCUAGCACCCAAUACAUUCUGACUCUCCCCUGUGAGACUUCUCUGAGCCUCACUUUCCUCAUCUGCACAAUGGGGAGAUGGGAAUCUAGUCAUGGGGAAGUCGUGCAAGUUCAGUGCGGUGGUGGACAUCCAGACCCGGCACGUUCACUCACGUAUUUAUUCACGCCUGCACGUGUUCAUUCAUGCACACAGCAAAGACAUACUGAGGACCUGCCUGGACCAAGGCCUGCCUGGGUGAUGGGGAGGGAGUGAACAAGAGAGAUAGAUGAGGAGUUCCCAGGUGGCUCUGCGGGUUAAGGAUCAGGCAUUGUCACUGCUGUGGCUUGGGUCCCUACUAUGGCUCAGAUUCAAUCCCUGGCCUUCAAACUUCUGCAUGCCAUGAGUGCAGCCAAAAAAAAAAAAAAAAAAAAAAGACAGACAGAUGAUCACAGUCCUGAAAUCAUAGAGUUUAAAUCCAGAGACUCACCAAAAUUGAUUUUUAAAUUUAAAUUAACUUACUAAUUAAUUAACUAAUUUAAAAAUUUUAACUAAAUUAACUAAUUGAUUAAUUAAUAUAAGAAAAUAAACAGAAGGAACAGAUGAAAGAUGUCAGAGGGUCCAGCUAGGCAGGGAGAUCAGGGAAAGCCCCCUGAAGAGGGACACUUAAAUGAGGACUGGUUGAGAAAGAACCUGCCAGGUGAGGAGCUGUGGAAAGAAUAGGCCCCCUAGAGGGAAUAGCAAGUGCAAAGGCCCUGAGGUGGCCUCGAGGAACAACAAGGAAGCUAGCAUGGGAAAGUGAUGCUAGUGAGCUGGCAGGGAGAGUGGUGGGAGAAGGUUCUGAGGGCAGAGGUCAACUCCCCACCCCAAUGCCCACCAAGGACGGGAUCCAGCACCACUCUGCCUGAGUCACUGGGAGCCAGGGCAAGUUCCUGUCCCUCUCUGGACUUCAGUUCCCCAAUCUGUAAAAUGCAAGAGAGGGGUCACCUCUGUCUGAAAGUCAUCCAGACUCUGUUAUUGCAUAAAUCUGGGCCAAAUCGUGGCCUCUGCCCUGAGCUGCUUGCCACCGAGGGAGUCCGAAAGAGGAAGAGAAAAUAAAAGGCUUGCCCUUGGGCUACUUGGGAGUUGGGGGUAGCCAGGGGGGCUUGUGUGGCAAUAAUAGGCAUUAAUUGCAUACUUCCUCCGUGUUAUUCUACACACGCCAUCUCUAAAUCCUAAUAGAUUCUCAUAUUGUUCCCACUUUAUACAUGUGGAAACUGAGGCUCGGAAGUAAAGUGCCCAGCCUGAGGUCAGAUGAGAGUCUGGUACAGCUAAGCUGCUGCAGCAGAAAGACCCCCAAACUCAGUGAGUUAAAUAUUUCUCUUCCGUGUAAGUCUGGAGUUGAACAGUCCAGGUCUGAUGGGUGGCUCUGCCAUCCUCAACCAAGGUUUCCCUCUCUGGGCCCAGGCAGGUGUACCCAAAAGUGGCAUUUCCCAGCUGGCAGGAAGGGAAGCAGGACAUCCGGCACCACUUCCCCUCCAGCACCGACCGUCUCAUCCUAGCCUCAUCUUGUGCCCAGAAGAUCCCAGCAGCCUCCCAGGAGGGCUCCAUCUCCAGGUUUGCUCCCUCCUGGCCCACGGGCAUGUCACUUCCCCU
ensembl:lncRNA